rnacentral:rRNA from 1 species
GAAAGCCUGACGCAGCGACGCCGCGUGAGGGACGAAGGUCUUCGGAUUGUAAACCUCUUUCAGCAGGGACGAAGCGAAAGUGACUGUACCUGCAGAAGAAGCACCGGCUAACUACGUGCCAGCAGCCGCGGUAAUACGUAGGGUGCAAGCGUUGUCCGGAUUUAUUGGGCGUAAAGAGCUCGUAGGCGGUUUGUCGCGUCGGAUGUGAAAACCCAAUGGCUUAACCUUGGGCCUGCAUUCGAUACGGGCAAACUAGAGUGUGGUAGGGGAGACUGGAACUCCUGGUGUAGCGGUGGAAUGCGCAGAUAUCAGGAAGAACACCGAUGGCGAAGGCAGGUCUCUGGGCCAUAACUGACGCUGAGGAGCGAAAAGCGUGGGGGAGCGAACAGGAUUAGAUACCUGGUAGUCCACGCCGUAAAACGGUGGGCGCUAGGUGUGGGGAUUGUUUCCACGAUCUCCGUGCCGUAGCUAACGCAUUAAGCGCCCCGCCUGGGGAGUACGGCCGCAAGGCUAAAAACUC